UACGAAGGGGGGCUAGCGUUGCUCGGAAUCACUGGGCGUAAAGGGUGCGUAGGCGGGUUUUUAAGUCAGAGGUGAAAUCCUGGAGCUCAACUCCAGAACUGCCUUUGAUACUGAAAGUCUUGAGUAUGGGAGAGGUGAGUGGAACUGCGAGUGUAGAGGUGAAAUUCGUAGAUAUUCGCAAGAACACCAGUGGCGAAGGCGGCUCACUGGCCCAUAACUGACGCUGAGGCACGAAAGCGUGGGGGAGCAAACAGG
rnacentral:rRNA from 1 species